CUCGUAGGCGGUUAGACAAGUCAGAUGUGAAAGACCCGGGCUUAACCUGGGGGUGUCAUUUGAUACUAUUUAACUAGAGUGAGGCAGAGGAAAGUGGAAUUUCCGGUGUAGCGGUGAAAUGCGUAGAUAUCGGAAGGAACAUCAGUGGCGAAGGCGACUUUCUGGACCUUAACUGACGCUGAGGAGCGAAAGCGUGGGUAGCAAACA
rnacentral:rRNA from 1 species